GACCUACGGGGCGCAGCAGUGAGGAAUAUUGGUCAACGGCCGAGAGGCUGAACCAGCCAAGUCGCGUGAGGGAAGACGGCCUUACGGGUUGUAAACCUCUUUUGUCGGGGAGCAAAGCGAGUCACGUGUGACUCAUUGAGAGUACCCGAAGAAAAAGCAUCGGCUAACUCCGUGCCAGCAGCCGCGGUAAUACGGAGGAUGCGAGCGUUAUCCGGAUUUAUUGGGUUUAAAGGGCGCGCAGGCGGAGGUGCAAGUCAGCGGUCAAAUUGCGGGGCUCAACCCCGUACUGCCGUUGAAACUGCAUC
rnacentral:rRNA from 1 species